UCAAGUCACAACAUUGGGUGGGGUUAGGUGAACCAUAUCCUCACAUUCUUCACCUUGGUUCUCCUAACACUCUCUCUUGGUUGCGAAUUUGCACAUGGAAGAACUGUUCAUCAUCAUCGCCCACCACCUGCAAGAAAAUUAACCAGUGUCAAUGUGUAAUAAAGAUAAGCACAAUCUAAAUUUACUUGCAGGUAGAAUUUUUGUUCCCAUAUCAGAGG
rnacentral:lncRNA from 1 species